rnacentral:rRNA from 1 species
CCAUUAGUUGCUACGAAGGGACGACCUCUAAUGGGACUGCCGGUGACAAACCGGAGGAAGGUGGGGAUGACGUCAAGUCCUCAUGGCCCUUAUAGGUGGGGCUACACACGUCAUACAAUGGCCGGUACAGAGGGUAGCCAACCCGCGAGGGGGAGCCAAUCCCACAAAGCCGGUCGUAGUCCGGAUCGCAGUCUGCAACUCGACUGCGUGAAGUCGGAAUCGCUAGUAAUCGCGGAUCAGCAUGUCGCGGUGAAUACGUUCCCGGGUCUU